GAUGAACGCUAGCGAUAGGCUUAACAUAUGCAAGUCGAGGGGCAGCAUGGUCUUAGCUUGCUAAGACUGAUGGCGACCGGCGCACGGGUGCGUAACGCGUAUGCAACUUGCCUCACAGAGGGGGAUAACCCGUCGAAAGACGGACUAAUACCGCGUACACUUACAGGAGGGCAUCCUUCGGUAAGGAAAAGAAAUUCGCUGUGAGAUAGGCAUGCGUCCCAUUAGCUAGUUGGUGAGGUAACGGCUCACCAAGGCGACGAUGGGUAGGGGAACUGAGAGGUUGGACCCCCACACUGGUACUGAGACACGGACCAGACUCCUACGGGAGGCAGCAGUGAGGAAUAUUGGCCAAUGGGCGAGAGCCUGAACCAGCCAAGUCGCGUGAAGGAUGACUGUCUUAUGGAUUGUAAACUUCUUUUGUAGGGGAAUAAAGAACGGCACGUGUGCCGUAGUGAAUGACCCUACGAAUAAGCUCGCACC
rnacentral:rRNA from 1 species